rnacentral:rRNA from 1 species
CCUUCCUACUGUUGCUUCCUCGGGAGUGCCCCGGGCGCCUCUGGUGCCCCGCCCCAGGCCCCGCGCCCGCCACAUGACUCUUGUUUUAUUUUUUUGUCUUCCCAUCAGUUUUUUUUUAUAAAUAAAAACUUUCUCCGACCCAUCUCUUGGUUCUGGCAAAAUGAAUCAAAACUUUCAAAAUGCGAUCUCUAAUGUGAAUUGUCGAAUUCAGUGAAUCAUCAAAUCUUUGAACGCUGUUGCGCCCGCCAGUAUUCUGGCAGGCAUGCCUGUCUGACCGUUUGUUCCCCCUCAUGCCCCUAGGGCGUGGUGUUGGGAAUCGGCUUUCAACCCUCAGGGACCUCCGGGCGGUCGAUCUUGUGGAUCACCCCUGCCUCUUCCUCUGGCCGUCUUGAUAUUCCGCAUCCGGUCUCGACGAGCCCCUGCCUGCAAACCCCCAAGUUUCCUCGGUUGACCUCCGAUCAGGGACGACUACCCUUUAAACUUCAACUUCUCAAUUGUCGAAGGAAGAUCAGGUAGGAAUACCCGCUGAACUUAAGCAUAUCAAUAAGCGGAGGAA